ACACAGAAAUCAGAAUUAUUUCACUGGCACUGAACAUGUUUUGUUGGAUAGAGUCCAUGUACCUGCUGUUAGCAUGAAUGCAAGCUGGCAUGAUGGAGAUCUUCGUAAUAUAAUUCUUGUUGGAUUUUUUCUGUACCCGAAGAACACAUAGAAUCAGUAACUCGUUUCAGAGUGAGGAUUGAAGACAUAUCGGUUGUUACUCAUAAUGUAAAUAUUGCCAUCCGUGCUAAGAAUAGAUUUUGAGUACAGUUUUGGUGCUACUAAAUUUAAUUGCAGGCCCAUUGCUUUCAGCGGUGCAUAUAUACGGAGUUGUACAAGAGAUGAGAGCAACUCCUGUAAACACGCUCAACCCACAAAGAACAGCAAUGAUUGUGGCUGAUUUUAUCAAGAGUGGAAAGGUCUCUAGCCCAACUGAGCUAAGAUAUAGAGAAGAUCUUCUGUUUCCUAACCGAUUAAUAGAAGAAGCUGGAAGUGUGAAAAUUGGGCAACCACUUCGCAGAGUCUUGAGCCCACGGCUUGUUGAACAGUUGAGGGCAACUUUUCCAAGAAAUUUUUACUUAGCCAAAAAAGCAAUAAGACGUACAUGGUUCUUGAGCAAAGUACGAGCGGAGAGGAUGCAUUAAGGGGAUGGUUAGUCGCUGCAUUUGCUUUGGAGAUGGAAAGGUCAGGCAUCGGUUCACGCGAUGCAGUUGUAAAUGAAGCCUAUGAGAA